rnacentral:rRNA from 1 species
AUUGAACGCUGGCGGCAUGCCUUACACAUGCAAGUCGAACGGCAGCACGGGUGCUUGCACCUGGUGGCGAGUGGCGAACGGGUGAGUAAUACGUCGGAACGUACCUUAUCGUGGGGGAUAACGCAGCGAAAGCUGUGCUAAUACCGCAUACGCCCUGAGGGGGAAAGCGGGGGAUCGCAAGACCUCGCGCGAUUAGAGCGGCCGAUGCCUGAUUAGCUUGUUGGUGGGGUAAAAGCCCACCAAGGAGACGAUCAGUAGCUGGUCUGAGAGGACGAGCAGCCACACUGGGACUGAGACACGGCCCAGACUCCUACGGGGGGCAGCAGUGGGUAAUUUUGGACAAUGGGGGCAACCCUGAUCCAGCAAUGCCGCGUGAGUGAAGAAGGCCUUCGGGUUGUAAAGCUCUUUUGUCAGGGAAGAAACACCGGCUCUAACACAGUCCGGGAAUGACGGUACCUGAAGAAUAAGCACCGGCUAACUACGUGCCAGCCGCCGCCGUAA